rnacentral:rRNA from 1 species
AGCUGCUACGGCAGUGAAGUCAUUGAUGCCAUGCUUCCAGGAAAAGCCUCUAAGCUUCAGAUAGUCAGGAAUCGUACCCCAAACCGACACAGGUGGUCGGGUAGAGAAUACCAAGGCGCUUGAGAGAACUCGGGUGAAGGAACUAGGCAAAAUGGUACCGUAACUUCGGGAGAAGGUACGCUCUUGAUGGUGAAGUCCCUCGCGGAUGGAGCUGACGAGAGUCGCAGAUACCAGGUGGCUGCAACUGUUUAUUAAAAACACAGCACUGUGCAAAAUCGCAAGAUGACGUAUACGGUGUGACGCCUGCCCGGUGCCGGAAGGUUAAUUGAUGGGGUUAGCGCAAGCGAAGCUCUUGAUCGAAGCCCCGGUAAACGGCGGCCGUAACUAUAACGGUCCUAAGGUAGCGAAAUUCCUUGUCGGGUAAGUUCCGACCUGCACGAAUGGCGUAAUGAUGGCCACGCUGUCUCCACCCGAGACUCAGUGAAAUUGAAAUCGCUGUGAAGAUGCAGUGUACCCGCGGCUAGACGGAAAGACCCCGUGAACCUUUACUACAGCUUGGCACUGAACAUUGAACCUACAUGUGUAGGAUAGGUGGGAGGCUAUGAAGACGUGACGCCAGUUGCGUUGGAGCCGUCCUUGAAAUACCACCCUUGUAUGUUUGAUGUUCUAACUUAGACCCAUUAUCUGGGUUGAGGACAGUGCCUGGUGGGUAGUUUGACUGGGGCGGUCUCCUCCCAAAGAGUAACGGAGGAGCACGAAGGUGGGCUAAUCACGGUUGGACAUCGUGAGGUUAGUGCAAUGGCAUAAGCCCGCUUAACUGCGAGAAUGACGGUUCGAGCAGGUGCGAAAGCAGGUCAUAGUGAUCCGGUGGUUCUGUAUGGAAGGGCCAUCGCUCAACGGAUAAAAGGUACUCCGGGGAUAACAGGCUGAUACCGCCCAAGAGUUCAUAUCGACGGCGGUGUUUGGCACCUCGAUGUCGGCUCAUCACAUCCUGGGGCUGAAGUCGGUCCCAAGGGUAUGGCUGUUCGCCAUUUAAAGUGGUACGCGAGCUGGGUUUAGAACGUCGUGAGACAGUUCGGUCCCUAUCUGCCGUGGGCGUUGGAAGAUUGAAGGGGGCUGCUCCUAGUACGAGAGGACCGGAGUGGACGAACCUCUGGUGUUCGGGUUGUGUCGC